rnacentral:rRNA from 1 species
UACGUAGGGGGGCGAGCGUUUGUCCGGAUUCAUUUGGGCGUAAAGAGCUCGUAGGCGGUUUGGUAAGUUGGAUGUGAAAUCUCCAGGCUCAACUUGGAGGGGUCAUUCGAUACUGCCAUGACUAGAGUUCGGUAGGGGAGUGUGGAAUUCCUGGUGUAGCGGUGAAAUGCGUAGAUAUCAGGAGGAACACCGGUGGCGAAGGCGCUAUCUGGACAGAGUCUGACGCUGAGGCGCGAAAGCUAGGGGAGCAAACAGG